CCGCGGUGCAUUUAGCUAGUUGGUAAAGGUAAAACGGGCUUACCAAGGCGAUGAUGCAUAGCCCGAGUUGAGAGACUGAUCGGCCACAUUGGGACUGAGACACGGCCCAAACUCCUACGGGAGGCAGCAGUAGGGAAUCUUCCACAAUGGACGCAAGUCUGAUGGAGCAACGCCGCGUGAGUGAAGAAGGUUUUCGGAUCGUAAAGCUCUGUUGUUGGUGAAGAAGGAUAGAGGUAGUAACUGGCCUUUAUUUGACGGUAAUCAACCAGAAAGUCACGGGCUAACUACGUGCCAGCAGCCGCGGUAAAU
rnacentral:rRNA from 1 species